GGGCCGGUAGCUCAAUGGUUAGAGCUCGCUGCUCAUAACAGCGCCGGUGCCGGUUCGAAUCCGGCCCGGCCCACCA
rnacentral:tRNA from 1 species